GACGAACGCUGGCGGCGUGCUUAAUACAUGCAAGUCGAACGGAAAGGUGCUGCUCUUGUUGGUUGCUCGUGUGGCGAACGCGUGAGUAUCACGUGUGUAUCCUGUCCUUGUCUUUGGGAUAUCUUCACGAAACUGGGGCUCAUAUCGGAUAUAAUCUCCUGCUGCAUGGUGUUGGUUGGAAAGUUUCGGCGGUUGUGGAUGGACUCGCUGCUUAUCAGCUUGUUGGUGUAGUAGUGGCUUACCAAGGCUUUGACGGGUAGCCGGCAUGAGAGCGUGACCGGCGACAAUGGGACUGAGAGACGGAGCAGACUGGUACGGGAGGCAGCAGUGGGGAAUAUGGCACAGUGAGCCGAAGCCAGAUGCAGAAACGCCGCGAGCGGGAAGACGGCCUUCGGGGGAUAAACAACUUUCGACGGUGACAAAGCGUGAGUGACGGUAAUGGGUAAAGAAGCACCGGCUAACUACGUG
rnacentral:rRNA from 1 species